CCAUCAACUCAAUUCUAACCCGGGUUACACUCUGCGCCUUCAGACGUCGACGAACAUACUUCCCUUAUCUCUGGGGCGCAUUAUAAUACCAGAGAUCAAAUUUCAGCGCUAUGGCAGCCGCUGCUCUGGCGGCAGUACAGGGAAUUUCCCCCACCAGUUUUAUUACUCCACGAGCAUUUCUCAUCAAUAACUAUUCGCACAUCACCCAUCCCAACUCGCAAUGUGGAUACUCUUCAGGAGGUGCACGGUACUAUCGUUUGAAGUGGGAAUUGAACCGCGGACCUGUUAUUGGUUUUCAAAAGAAACGACAUUAUUCUUCCAUCUACAGAAUAAGAGCUGCAGAUGAGCCAAUGAAGCCGCCUUACAAUGUACUUAUUACAGGCUCCUCCAAAGGCAUAGGAUAUGCGCUUGCAAAAGAAUUCUUAAGAGCAGAUGACAAUGUGAUAAUAUGUUCAAGAUCAGAUGAUCGUGUUCAAGCUGCUAUAGAAAACCUUAAAAAUGAGUUUGGGGACCAGCAUUUGUGGGGAACAACUUGUGAUGUGAGGGAUGGAGAAAGUGUUCGAGCGCUAGUUGAAUUUGCAAGGAAAACCAUUAGUUAUGUUGAUAUAUGGAUAAACAAUGCUGGCUCAAAUGCAUACAGUUAUAAGCCUUUGAUGGAGACCAGUGAUGAAGCUCUCAUGGAAGUCGUGACUACCAAUACAUUGGGAACAAUGAUUUGUUGUAGAGAGGCAAUAAAGAUGAUGCUCUGUCAGCCUCGUGGAGGUCAUGUCUUUAACAUGGAUGGAGCUGGUGCCGAUGGAAGGCCAACGCCUAGGUUUGUUGCAUAUGGAGCCACAAAGCGCAGUUUGGUGCAUCUAACAAAGUCACUACAGGCUGAGUUGCGAAUGCAAGAGAUUAAGAAGGUUAUGGUACACAACUUGUCGCCUGGUAUGGUAACAACUGAUCUCCUCAUGUCUGGAAGCAACACAAAGCAGGCAAAAUUCUUUAUCAAUGUUCUUGCAGAACCAGCAGACACGAUGAAUCCAGGUUGCAGAGUUUCUUGUACCACGUAUUCGAGCUGUUCCAGUAAAAACAUCCUUAAAACCCACCUAUAUCCGUUUCCUCACUGGAUUCAAGGCAUACUCACAAAUACUUACUAGGCUUCUUUUCAAUGCUCGGAAGGAUAGAUACGUUCCUGAAGAUUGAAUACAAUGGAGGUCAUGUUAUUUUGAGUAGAAAUAAAUAUCAUUGGGAAGUUUUUAGUAUAGCUGUGGCACAAACUAUAUGUAGUUGUUUCAUAAAAUUGCACCUGAGCAACAUACCUGUCCCUCUGUGGCAUAGCUGGAGGAACAAUAAACACUAUAUCUUUACACAACCAAUUACUCAUUGAUCCAAAUUCUUCUUAUCAAGCAGAUCAUAUGUGAGCUAAAGGAUUUUGUUUCCUUCGUGGUAAUUUGGUUUAAAGUAUGUCCUUAGCCAUGGAAAUUGUACAAUUUUCUUUUCCACCGAACCUAUCAACUUGGCCUUAUCAAUACAUACAUGUAUUAUUGGCUGGAUAACAACUGAGUGCUGUUUGUAUGGAUAAUUUGAAUUGCUGCAUUUAUCUGUGAUACCCCUUAAAGAUAUGAUAAAUAGCACAAAAUCCUUGACCCCAUUU